UAAGUGAAGAGUUUGAUCCUGGCUCAGAGUGAACGCUGGCGGCAGGCCUAACACAUGCAAGUCGAACGGCAGCACAGGGGAGCUUGCUCCCUGGGUGGCGAGUGGCGGACGGGUGAGGAAUACAUCGGAAUCUACCCUGUCGUGGGGGAUAACCUCGGGAAACCGGGACUAAUACCGCAUACGACCUUCGGGUGAAAGUAGGGGAUCGCAAGACCUUACGCGAUUGGAUGAGCCGAUGUCGGAUUAGCUUGUUGGCGGGGUAAAAGCCCACCAAGGCGACGAUCCGUAGCUGGUCUGAGAGGAUGAUCAGCCACACUGGAACUGAGACACGGUCCAGACUCCUACGGGAGGCAGCAGUGGGGAAUAUUGGACAAUGGGCGCAAGCCUGAUCCAGCCAUGCCGCGUGAGUGAAGAAGGCCUUCGGGUUGUAAAGCUCUUUUGUUGGGAAAGAAAUCCUGCCGGUCAAUACCCGGUAGGGAUGACGGUACCCAAAGAAUAAGCACCGGCUAACUUCGUGCCAGCAGCCGCGGUAA
rnacentral:rRNA from 1 species